GUGUUUGCUUUGGUAGCACAUAUACUAGAAAUUGCCCCUGCACAAGGAUGACAUGCAAAUUUGUGACGCAAAUUCCAUAUUUUU
rnacentral:snRNA from 1 species